ACGCCCUCUGCGUUCCUUAGUUUAUAUCUUCCUGUUGAACUUGAACGAAAACAUCAAAUAUCAUCUGGAAAUAAUGGCUGAUGCAUCCCCAGAUUUGGUUAAGUUCGAUGAUGAAGAUGUGAUGAAUUUUCUCGAGGCUGCCGUUGACGUGGCUAGACUAGCUGGUCAGAAAAUCAAGGAAGCGUAUCUUCUUGAGAAGAGGGUAGAAAUCAAAAGUUCCGCUGCAGAUCUAGUGACAGAGACAGAUCAGCUCGUGGAGAAAAAGAUUAUAGGCACCCUGCAAGAAAAAUUCCCUGACCAUUGCUUUAUAGGUGAGGAAAGCGUAGCUGCAGGUCAGAAGAUUGAGUUAACUGAUGCACCUACUUGGAUCAUCGAUCCCGUUGACGGAACCACAAACUUUGUCCAUAGCUUUCCAUUUGUUGCUGUCUGCAUUGGCCUGGCCAUCAACAAAAACUUAGUUGCAGGAGUGGUAUACAACGCAAUCUUAGAUGAAAUGUUCACUGCCAUCAGAGGCAAGGGGGCUUAUUGCAAUGAUGCUCAAAUCCACUGCUCAGGACAAGAAGAUAUAAAACAGUCACUGGUGAUGACAGAGAUAGGGUCCAGUCGGAAGCAAGAGCACAUAGACGCGAAAUUGAAGAACAUAGAGGCAAUUGUAAAGAAUGGUGUUCAUGGUGUGAGAUCGCUUGGCUCUGCAGCUCUGAACAUGUGCCAUGUGGCCCGUGGUGAUAGUGACCUCUAUGUUGAAUAUGGAAUCCACUGUUGGGAUAUGGCUGCCUCUGCUGUGAUUCUGGAAGAGGCUGGGGGAGUAUGUGCAGAUCCUAAGGGGGGCCCAUUGGAUAUCAUGUCAAGACAGAUCAUAUGCGGGAGCAGCCAAAAGCUGGUCGAUACGGUCUCGCAACUGCUCACUCAUAUAGACUUUGAGAGGGACUGAACAGAAGAAGUACCACUUCAUCAGCUGUAAAUGUAUGCAGAGGAUAGACUGUAGAGAACUAUAUUUGUUUUGAGACAUCCCAAAUUCUACAUAACUCCCGGGAUGUCACAGGAAGUCACGGAAAGCAGCAAUUUAGUCAUGGAAAUGUCAUGGAAUUCUGUUUGCAAAUGUUUUCUGUGGGAACCCUGUAUAUACUUUGAAGGAUUUUCAUGGAAUUUCUCUAAUUUAUGAAUAAUAAUAAGACAUGGAUAUAACAUGAGCCUAAACUAAUAAUAAAAAGCUAAUUUACAGAAAAGGUGCCAAUUUGAAAUUUUAAAGAAUAAUUUUUUUUUGUAUUCGUUGUGUUGCCAAUUUUAUGUAAUGAUUAGCUCAAGUCAAUAAACAGUUUUUAUUCAGGAAUGGUGCCAUAUACCAUACUGGGGAUGGUAUAUUUUUUUCAGUGAAUAUUUCUUUGCCUCUUUUUUCUCUCUCUCAUUUCCAUGUGAAAUUGCUAGCAUUAAUAAAGGAUAAUGAGAAACUCCAACAUUGUAUCCCAACCAAAAGAAGACACUAAAUCUCUAUUGGGAGUGUGCAAUGGUAUACAGUACUAGUCAAGAGUGUGAAAUAUAUGUACUCAAACUACUCGUGCUCUUUUUUCCAUGCAUUGUUCAUAAACUUCAUAUUACAUUUGAAGCAUAUAAUAGUCAAGAUAAGAAUGGAUUCAUUUGUAUCUAUAAAACCUGCUGAAAAUUUGAAUUGAACUUUAAAAAUAAAUACAUAUUUGUCUCGCCUGCAUAACAGAGCGAGACUAUAGGCGCUGUUUGUCCGAUGGCAGCGUCAACAUUAAAACCUUAACCUACAUGUAAGGUUUAGUUUUUGAAAUGACAUCAUAACUUUAAAAAUACAUGAACCUAGUUCAUGAAACUUGGACAUAUAGGUAAACAAGCAUUAUCUAUCACCCUACCCAAGUUUCAGGUCACAUGACCAAGGUCACAAGUCAUUUAGGGUCAAUAAACUUUGGCCAUGUUGGGGUAUUUGUUUUAUUGUAACUUUUAAAGUUUUUGGAUCUUGUUCAGAAAUAUGAACUUAAGAGAAAUCAAGUAUCACUGAACAUUCCAUGCGAGUUUUAGGUCAUAUGAUCAAGGUCAAAGGUUAUUUAAGGUCAAUGAACCAUGUUGGGGGUGAUUGUUAAAUUGCCAUAAUAAUUUUGCCAGUUUAUGGAUAUAGUAUAUGAAAUGUGGGCAUAGGAGUAAUCAAGUAUCCCUGAUCAUCUUGCAUAGGUCUUAGGUCACACGAUCAAGGUCAAAUGUCAUUUAGGGUCAAUGAGCGUAGUAUUGUAUCAUUAUAUGAAUGGUAUGUUUUUUGUGAAUAAUUGUCCAUAGUCAGCAUUGCUGCUAUAAUGAAGCACGUAAUGCAGGCAAGACUGCCAGAGGCGCUCCACUUUUUGGUAUAUGUUCUCACCAGGAGAGGUUUUCACGAAGGAAAUAGUUAAGUGGUUUUCACAGACAGAUUUGCUCUCAGCCAUUCAGAUUCAAGAAGUUUGGUAGCUUAUAACAAUAGUUAGUGAAAGUCACAAUUGUCUCAUAAAAAGCUCCUCAGGAGAGAGCUUGAAAGGGUAGAGCUGGGUGGUCAUUCUAUAUUGCUUUCAAAUCUUAGCUCAUAUUUUCAUUCAUUCAUUUAUUCAUUUAUUCAUUCAUCCAUCCAUCCAUCCAUCCAUUCAUUCAUUCAUUUAUUCAUUCAUUCAUUCAUUCAUUAAUUACAUUAAUAUUGCCAGGACCUCACAUUAUCGAGACACUUAGAAUGUGUUGUUUUUUUAAAUUUACUAUUAUAGCUCAUGUACAUUUUUAGUUGUUUAGACCUUGAACACUAUGGGUUGAUAAACAAUAUCAAAAUAAAUUACUUGUUUUGUCACUAAAUUUGUCAUAAAGCCUAUAGUGGGCUCUAAAGCCAGCUGAGUGUAGCAGUGCAUGUAUGUUCAUGAUUGUGAUCGGGCAAUAUAUGGAUAUACUCAACUCAAGCAUUAUAAGCAAGUAAGAAACAGGCAACGCAACUAUUAACAAGAUAUUAAGAAGGUUUCUUGAAACUCAAUAUCAUGUAAUAGGUUUGUGCAUUAGUGGUCCAAUGCUGUAAACUGCCAAAUAUUUCAAUUAAGAUUCCUCAGGGUCAAUAUAAAUACCAACUCUAUGUCAUUUGCAAGAAAACGAAAAAUUAUCUGAAUUGCUACUUUGAAUCAAUAUCAUUUUCAUGCUUUUAGAAUUAUUGACCUUAAAUUUAGAUAUGAAAUCUCCACUAUUUUUAUUUUUUGUCUAUAUUUUCAUACGGAAUGUAGAUCUAGUUCUCUGUCAUAUGAGGAAAGGUAUUUGGAUGGGUCACAUUCACAAUCCUCACUAUUGUGUAAUCUGCUCUAAGGUGAUGAAAUGUGACAAGAGAAUGAUAUAAUUUCUUCUAUAAAUUUUCUAUCAUAGAUAAAUUUGAAAGCUCUUACAUGCUGAUUACCCACCUUGUGUACUUGAUUAUUAUUGUCAAAUGCAUGUAUACCAUGGAAUUUAGAUCACUAGAUGUAGAACUAUGUUUAUAAUUCAUAUUCUGCCCUUAAUGAUUCAUUAAAAAAUAUUUGGAGUUGAGGUGAAAAGUUUGCUAUAUAUAUUCAACUCCAGAGCAUGCACUACGAGUUUCAUAUCAUGGCAAUGUUGUGAAUAAAUUUGUAUCCUGUAUACUUGCAAAAAAAA